GAUGAACGCUGGCGGCGUGCCUAAUACAUGCAAGUCGAGCGAACAGACGAGGAGCUUGCUCCUCUGACGUUAGCGGCGGACGGGUGAGUAACACGUGGAUAACCUACCUAUAAGACUGGGAUAACUUCGGGAAACCGGAGCUAAUACCGGAUAAUAUAUUGAACCGCAUGGUUCAAUAGUGAAAGACGGUUUUGCUGUCACUUAUAGAUGGAUCCGCGCCGCAUUAGCUAGUUGGUAAGGUAACGGCUUACCAAGGCAACGAUGCGUAGCCGACCUGAGAGGGUGAUCGGCCACACUGGAACUGAGACACGGUCCAGACUCCUACGGGAGGCAGCAGUAGGGAAUCUUCCGCGAUGGGCGAAAGCUUGACGGAGCAACGCCGCGUGAGUGAUGAAGGUCUUCGGAUCGUAAAACUCUGUUAUUAGGGAAGAACAAAUGUGUAAGUAACUAUGCACGUCUUGACGGUACCUAAUCAGAAAGCCACGGCUAACUACG
rnacentral:rRNA from 1 species